AUGCAGCUUGAAUUUCAACCUGGAGCUGAGACCUCCAGAUGGACUCCUAGAAGGGUGACGUGUAAAGCUGCAUCCCUCAGCAGCCCACGAUCUUGGCAGGUUUGCCACUGUGACCAAUGUUUUAUUGAAGCUUCUGAGGCCGUAGAGCACAGGGAAGUUCCGAGCACACAGAGGACAAGCCAGGGCGGUGCUGUGUGGCCCAAAACAACCUUAAGGAGACAUGAGUGGGGGACGGUUUCUGACACCUUGAUUCCUUAUGUCUGUGUUUCUGCAGUGUGGAGCAUUGUGAGUCUGUGUGGCAGCAACCACGAAGAAAGUGAUACAGACUUGGUGGCGGAGAGCACCGACUGCCGCCAGGAUGAGGAGGCUGCAGGUAGGGAAGAGCACACAGCUGGGAUCCAGGGGGAGAGGGUUCCUGGGAGCAGCUGGGUUCCACCUGCUGCCGGGAGAGGGAGGAAGGGGGGGAUAGGACUUGGCAGGUGGGUGGUGGGUGGCCUAAUGAGUGGAACCCUGAUGUGGUGUUUUCCCCUCCGAAAUUGAUAACACGAAGAAGACUUGUGUCCCUGGUCUUUGUCGUGCUGUGUUUGGAUUCCUGUCUCCUUCCUUUGAGAGGGAGAAUCGAUUUUCCCUCCCAAAGCUGCUCCUUCCAGCUCUUGUCUCUGGCCAUUGUGCCAGCUUGCUUUGUGGGUCGCACCCUGAGGGUCCUGUGCCCAAGAGCUGUUGACUUAGUUUCCUUUGUUGCCCUUGAGGGACCUGAUGUGGUGGGACGCAACCCUCUCCUAGGGCCUUGACCCUGGAGACCAAGUUCGUCUGGUGAGUGUGAGGUGGUGGGUGAGAAGGCGCUGUCUCCCUCUGGAUGUUCAGGAUUUCUGGCCUCCCUGUCC
rnacentral:lncRNA from 1 species